GCGUAACUUACUUUGGGGUUGGUUAAUCAGCUAGAAUUAGGGCUCUAUUCAAUCUGGAUGGCUGAAGCGUUACAGACCGUGUGAUAGAAAUGUAAGGUCCUUUCCCAUUGAGCCGACAUAUGCAGCGUUUACCGUGAAUGCAGUCUCCGCUAACACAGGAACAUUACCUUUACAUUUCUAUCAGGUGGUAAAGUUGAACUUCAGCCAUACAGAUUGAAUAGAGCCCUUAGGGUGGGGAGGAGGUUUGGUGGUUAUUACCAGAGCUCAGAAUUGAUCCCGGUCAGGGCUCUAAACGUUCUACAUAACUGUACAGACUUCUAAACUUCCAGUACUGUCCACUCAACAGAGAAAUGAAGAGCUCUUCUGUCAAAGUAGGUCAACUUUGGACACAAAAAACAGUCCAACUCCGCAUCUUUCCCAAUUUUCAAACAUAAACGGGGUGUGGCCUUUGGUGUUACAUCAGUGUCAUUCUAGUCAGGUGUGCACAUGACCAACGUACAGUUGAAUCGGAUGUUUACAUACACCUUAGCCAAAUACAUUUAAACUCAGUUUUUCAAAAUUCCUGACAUUUAAUCCUACUACAAAUUCCCUGUUUUAGGUCAGUUAGGAUCACCACUUUAUUUUAAGAAUGUGAAAUGUCAGAAUAAUAGUAGAGAGAAUGAUUUAUUUCAGCUUUUAUUUCUUUCAUCACAUUCCCAGUGGGUCAGAAGUUCACAUAGACUCAAUUAGUAUUUGGUAGCAUUGCCUUUAAAUGGUUUAACUUUGGCAAAAGUUUUGGGUAGCUUUCCACAAGUGAAUUCCACAAGUGAAUUUUGGCCCAUUCCUCCUGACAGAGCUGGUGUAACGGAGUCCGGUUUGUAGGCCUCCUUGCUCACACACACUUUUUCAGUUAUGCCCACAAAUGUUCUAUAGGAUUGAGGUCAGGGCUGUGUGAUGGCCACUCCAAUACCUUGACUUUGUUGUCCUUAAGCCAUAUUGCCACAACUUUGGAAGUAUACUUGAGGUCAUUGUCCAUUUGGAAGACCCAUUUGCGACCAAGCUUUAACUUCCUGACUGAUGUCUUGAGAUCUUGCUUCAAUAUAUCUAUAUAACUUUAAUUCUUCAUUAUGCCAUCUAUUUUGUGAAGUGCACCAGUCCCUCCUGCAGCAAAGCACCCCCACAACAUGAUGCUGCCACCCCCAUGCUUCACGGUUGGGAUGGUGUUCUUCGGCUUGCAAGUCCCCCCUUUUUCCACCAAACAUAAUGAUGGUCAUUAUGGCCAAAGAGUUCUAUUUUUGUUUCAUCAGACCAUAGGACAUUUCUCCAAAAAGUACGAUCUUUGUCCCCAUGUGCAGUUGCAAACCAUAGUCAGGCUUUUUUAUGGCGGUUUUGGAGCAGUGGCUUCUUCCUUGCUGAGCGGCCUUUCAGGUUAUGUCGAUAUAGGACUCGUUUUACUGUGGAUAUAGAUACUUUUGUACCUGUUUCCUCCAGCAUCUUCACAAGGUCCUUUGCUGUUGUUCUGGGAUUGAUUUGCACUUUUCGCACCAAAGUACACUCAUCUCUAGGAGACCGAACGUGUCUCCUUCCUGAGCGGUAUGAUGGCUGCGUGGUCCCAUGGUGUUUAUAGUUGCGUACUAUUGUUUGUACAGAUGAUCGUGGUACCUUCAGGCAUUUGGAAAUUGCUCCCAAGGAUGACCCAGACUUGUGGAGGUCUACAAUUCUUUUUCUGAGGUCUUGGCUGAUUUCUUUUGAUUUUCCCAUGAUGUCAAGCAAAGAGGCACUGAGUUUGAAGGUAGGCCUUGAAAUACAUCCACAGGUACACUUCAAAUUAUGUCAAUUAGCCUAUCAGAAGCUUCUAAAGCCAUGACAUCAUUUUCUGGAGUUUUCCAAGCUGUUUAAAGGCAUCAGUCAGCUUAGUGUAUGUAGACGUCUGACCCACUGGAAUAGUGAUACUGUGAAUUAUAAGUGAAAGAAUCUGUCUGUAAACAAUUGUUGGAAAAAUGACUUCUGUCAUGCACAAAGUAGAUGUCCUAACUGACUUGCCAAAACUAUAGUUUGUUAACAAGACAUUUGUGGAGUGGUUGAAAAACGAGUUUUAAUGAUUCCAACCUAAGUGUAUGUAAACUUCGACUUCAACUGUAGCUAGUUCAUUAGCUAAGCUAGCCACUGUAGCUAGUUUGUUAGCUAAGCUAGCCACUGUAGCUAGUUUGUUAUCUAAGCUAGCCACUGAAGCUAGUUUGUUAGCUAAGCUAGCCACUGUAGCUAGUUUGUUAGCUAAGCUAGCCACUGUAGCUAGUUUGUUAGCUAAGCUAGCCACUGUAGCUAGUAUGUGUUGACAUUAUUUCACAGGAUUUGUUUUUGGAGAUCGGAAAGAAAUGGCACUUCUGUAGCCAAAUAUUUUAUUUUGCCAUUUUGUUAAAAGCAAUAUAUGACCUGGUAUGAUGGUGCACUGAUCAGUUAUACCGUUUGACGACAUUAUUUUUGCACUUUUGCCCAAAAUCGACCUACAAAUGUAUUGGUAGAGGUGUCCACCAGGGUAGACUGGAAAGGAUGGGAGGUGAGUUGGUAAUGAAAUACUCAACUUGAUGACAAAUAAAUACUUGGACAAAUGGAAAAACAUCUCAAAUAACAGUUUAAUAAAGUUCCUUCAACAUGUCAGUUGAUAACCGUUUCAUCCUGUGACAUGCCGUUGCAUUCAUCCUAUGACGUUACACAUCCUUUACGUGAAAUAAAAGGCAUAGUUGAAUAGAAUAAAGCAUUUGUGAUUGAUAUACA